CAGCGCCAUAGUGUUGAUGGCGCGUUGUGCCAUUGAACUCUCUGCACCUUCGACUUCCGCGUAAGACCUUCUUGGAAAGGGCUUGAAUAUACUCACCUGAGCAGUGAACGCGGAUGAUAGAGAACGGCGAGGAUGAGUGGGGAGGCGUGCGUGCACAAAAUGCGACGCCGUCAUCUCGAGAACUAUUGGAGCGGAUUCAGUACAAUCGGGAGCUCUCGAGCGCCGGCUCGUUGGCGCGGCGCCGCGUCGGUGCCCUCACUCCAUCGGAUGCAGAGGUGCAAGCGGUCUACGCCGCACGCGAAGCCGCCGUAGCGCGCCAGCUCGAAGAGGCGUUGCACGGAGACCUGCAUCGCCGCAGAGUAGUGUCAAUGCGGUACUAUGAUACCUUGAUGGCUGCUACGACGGACGAUGUGUUUCAGGAAUCGCAGCCACUGAGUGAUGUGGAGGCUCGUCGCGUUGUUCUUGGACCACUCAGGAAACUGGUGGCUGUCUUAGCCACGAGGCAGUGCUUCGCGAGUCUGCUGCGCUAUGCCAGCGGUGUCGGCGAAGCACUCCACACCGAUCGAAUUUCCCCACAGCUCGCAGUACAGUCAGCGCUUCCCUCCCCCUCUCCGUUGCCGAACAUAAGCACGCUGCUGCGAGGAAUUGCACUGCCCGACGUGGGUGCAUCACGGCGGUUCCCCGGCUUUGGCCACGGCGAUCCGGCGUACGAUUUCGUCGAAGCCCCGCGAUCCCGCCCGUGGCAUGAGCCGUUUGCCUUUCGACUCAAACACUUCACUCCAGUACCUAUGCCAUCGUUUGUCUUGGAUGUCGCGGCACAGGCGGAAAGAGAGGUUCGACGAGGCGAUGGCGAAAGUCCGUCGGCACAGGAAGGAGAUGAUGUACCUACCUUGAUGGCCGUACAGCCGUCUGCGGCGCUGACGAAUGGCUCGCACUUCACGUCCUGCACCACUAGUGCGCGGCCUGCCAAAGCACCCGCGCACGGUCGGAGCCCCGCUGGUACUGCCCCUGCCACCGAAUAGAGAAGUAUGCGCCCAGGCAAGCAGUUUCCCUCGCGCUCUUGCCGGCGCGUGAUGUAGCCUACAAUUCUGUCAUUGCGCUUCAACUCGUUCUCUCUCUUCUGUGCUGGUUUGUAGAUGUAUGCGUGUGAGUGUGUGCUCAUGUUGGCACUGGGGUCCUUGU
rnacentral:misc_RNA from 1 species